rnacentral:miRNA from 1 species
UAGGAUGGAGGCUAGCUUGUGGAGUGUCUAUGAUCUAAACCGAUCUUAAAUCUAAGUUAGUCUACUUCUCCUGGCCCCACAG